rnacentral:rRNA from 1 species
AUUGAACGCUGGCGGCAGGCCUAACACAUGCAAGUCGAGCGAGCGGCGGACGGGUGAGGAAUGUAUGGGGACUGCCCGAUAGAGGGGGAUAACUACUGGAAACGGUAGCUAAUACCGCAUACUAUCGGAUAACCCAUAUGGGAUUGGCUUGUAGGUGAGGUAAUGGCUCACCUGGGCGACGAUCCCUAGCUGGGCUGAGAGGAUGCGCAGCCACACUUGGACUGAGACCCGGCCCACACUCCUACGGAGGCAGCAGUGGGGAAUAUUGCACAAUGGGCGCAAGCCUGAUGCAGCCAUGCCGAGUGUAUGGAGAAGGCCCUAGGGUUGUAAAGUCCUUUCAGUCGGGAGGCGUUACCGACAGAAGAAGCACCGGCUAACUCCGUGCCAGCAGCCGCGGUAAUUC